rnacentral:misc_RNA from 1 species
GUAUAAGGUUUAUAGGCACUGGGGCCCAAUUUUACAUUCUGUUACAUACUAUGGGGUAUAUUAAAAAACGUAGGCUUGGUAAUGCAAAGAAAGCUGACCCAAAGAGUGCAGCAUUCUUCCCGACCGAGUUGCCUCGGAAAGUGUAUCCAAGUCUACAAGAUGUGCACAGGUGGAGAGAUGAGAAUGGCGGGUGUGCACAUGCCCCAAGAGGGCCAGCAACAACCACACCAAGUUCAUUCAAUAAUGAUCCUUCCGCAGGUUCACCUACGGAAA